rnacentral:rRNA from 1 species
UGGGGAAUCUUGGACAAUGGGCGCAAGCCUGAUCCAGCCAUGCCGCGUGAGUGAUGAAGGCCUUAGGGUUGUAAAACUCUUUCGCCGAGGACGAUAAUGACGGUACUCGGAGAAGAAGCUCCGGCUAACUCCGUGCCAGCAGCUGCGGUAAUACGGAGGGUGCAAGCAUUGAUCGGAAUUACUGGGCGUAAAGGGCGCGUAGGCGGCUCGAUAAGUCGGAUGUGAAAUUCCGGGGCUCAACCCCGGAGCGGCAUUUGAAACUGUCGAACUAGAGUACAGUUAGGGUAAACGGAAUUCCACGUGUAGCGGUGAAAUGCGUAGAUAUGUGGAAGAACACCGGUGGUGAAGACGGUUUACUGGGCUGUAACUGACGCUGAGGCGCGAAAGCAUGGGGAGCAAACAGGAUUAGAUACCCAUGUAGUCCCUGAGCGGGCUGGCAAGGCGCAU